rnacentral:pre_miRNA from 1 species
UUAGUACUCCCUCCGUUUGGAAUUACUUGUCGCGGAAAUGGAUGUAUCUAGACGUAUUUUAGUUCUAGAUACAUCCAUUUUCGAGACAAGUAAUUCCGAAUGGAGGGGGUAUAAC